rnacentral:rRNA from 1 species
UCCAGACUCCUACGGGAGGCAGCAGUGGGGAAUAUUGGGCAAUGGGCGCAAGCCUGACCCAGCAACGCCGCGUGAAGGAAGAAGGCUUUCGGGUUGUAAACUUCUUUUGUCAGGGAAGAGUAGAAGACGGUACCUGACGAAUAAGCCACGGCUAACUACGUGCCAGCAGCCGCGGUAAUACGUAGGUGGCAAGCGUUGUCCGGAUUUACUGGGUGUAAAGGGCGUGUAGCCGGGUUGACAAGUCAGAUGUGAAAUCCUGCGGCUUAACCGCAGAACUGCAUUUGAAACUGUUGAUCUUGAGUACUGGAGAGGCAGACGGAAUUCCUGGUGUAGCGGUGAAAUGCGUAGAUAUCAGGAGGAACACCGGCGGCGAAGGCGGCCUGCUGGACCGUGACUGACGUUGAGGCUCGAGAGCGUGGGGAGCAAACAGGAUUAGAUACCCCAGUA